UGCAGAAAAAGCAAGCCUUCCAUUCGGCCUCAUUCUCAAGCCCCCUCCGAGUACAUACCUGUGAACGCACCUGACUACACACCAGCCCCUUCACCUCCUUGUUUAUACUUUAUUUUUUACAUGAAAUGAACAGAGGGCUAAAUAUUCUAGCAACGUUCCCAGGCAGUCCUUGGGAGUCUUUUUUGUUUUUAUUUUUUUUAAUUUAUUUAUUUUUUGCGGUACGCAGGCCUCUCACUGCUGUGGCCUCUCCCGUUGCGGAGCACAGACUGCGGACGCGCAGGCUCAGCGGCCAUGGCUCAAGGGCCCAGCCGCUGCGCGGCACGUGGGAUCCUCGCGGACCGGGGCACGACCCCGCGUCCCCUGCAUCGGCAGGCGGACUCUCAACCACUGCACCACCAGGGAAGCCCAAUAGGUGUUUUUAAUCAUUAGAUUAUUUAACCACUAGGGGGCACACUCAUAUAGCUGCGAACUUGUCUGACUCAAAAUCCUGAAACAACUUUUUUAAAGGUAUACAUUUCUUUCAUUUCUAUAAAGGUAGCAUAAGGUUUUUUUUUUUUUUCUUUUUAUGGAUCCUGACAUGGAUUCUGGGACUACCAGGGGCUUGCUGGGGUCACGCAGCUGACCAUGACAAGUCAGUUUAAACUUCAUUCCUAAAAAAGGAAUUUGCAAGGGAGAGACACGCUUUUCAACUUUUCACCUUCAAUUGGAUCAAGAAGUUCACCCCCACCUGCCUUGUGUAUCUUAAAGAAUAUAAUUUAUAGAUGCCUCUCAAACCGGUAAUAACUUUGGUGGGAUAGGAUGUAUGAUGUAAAUGUUCCGAUAGGAAGAGCAGAAAGCAAAAGUUACAGAAGAACAGACAGAGGGAAUAAUCGAAGUGCGUGACUUAAUAUCUGGAUUUUUCUGAGUAAUAAUAUAUUGAUGACAAUGUAUUUGACUCAUUCAUCCCGUCGCUGGAGAGCGUUAAUUGAGCACUUAGUAGUAGUCCAGCCGCCUCUGGAUGGAGCAAUGGACAUUUUCCAUUUCCCUGCUGGCGGGUGUCAGCCCGCUGAAUCUCUCCUGGAAUGUGAAACGUGGCCGUCUUGGACAAGUUUCGGUCCUUAUCAAAAGCAUCUCUGAAAUUUUAGGUGGGGCUGGACAAGCACAGACCUGCUCCUAGACUUUUCAUGGUUAAGGUAAGAGCUUUAUUUUAGCUGAGCACUGAGAGACGGAACAGAACCAGCAUUGCAAAGAGCCGGGAGUGGAGGAAAAGACGAGGAACUGGGGUUUAUGGCCAAAGCGGUGUGGCAUCCAGCAACCCUGUGCUGGUCUUUGUAAAAUGGGAGAAUGAUGGUGGAGGUCCCGAAGAUUACGGUAAGCAGCUUGCUUAUAGGAUGUUCUAAGUGGGAAGGGAAGACCUUGGUGGGUUAUAAGGAAAGCACGGCUUUCCUGACACUCAUUCUAGCUGCCAUGUGGGGAGAUGCAGAGAAUGGGUGGUGGGAAGUAAUACCCAGUAAAUCGGGGACUGUAGGGGACAUGCUGGCAACAGUAGGCUACGUGGGCGAGGAUGGUAGACCUGCCCGGAGUAACGGCACAAGAAAGGCCAAAGAACGCCAUGACUGAGGAAGCCAACUGGUGUGGGUGGAGGCAGUCUCCCAUAUAUUUGAGACCCAUAUUGGCAAUGGGAGUAACCAGACUUGCUGGUCAUUGAUUGUGGGCUGGGGUGCAGAAGAACGGACAGGAUACUUAUCACUGAUGACUUCUUGUUUUCUUGUUUGAGCCACUGGAGGGAUGCUGGCGCCAUUUGCAAAGAUGGUGCUCGAGGGAAAAACCUACACACGGCAGGCUCUGAGUUCGAGAUGCUCUCACCAAGAGACCCAAGUGGAAAUGCCAAGGGAAGGCUGGAUGUGAGGACCCCGUUGGUCUGGAGAUGAGAAAGAAGCUGUUGGGGAGACUGGUUCCAGCCACCCCUGUUGGUUUCCUUGAUCAUGUCCUGUGCUAGUUCAAACUGGCUCUUGCCUUCUGAGGACAUGAAUUCAACAAGUUCACUCUUUAUUUCUCCUCUGAGGCCCCAAGAACGCCAACCGAUGCUCCUUUUAAGAACAGAGUAAAUUCAACGUCAUUUGCCGUCUGUGCCGAUAAAGUUAUUACCUAACUUUAGGUACUUCAAAGAACUUGCCAUGAUAUUCAUGAUAAAGAGGUCCUGUUAGUGCUACCAGAAAAAAACCCUUGCGAAAGAGGCAAGUAAAUACAAUUCAGAACAGACAACGACCUCCAAACCCAACUUCAUCGCACGGAAUUGAGAUUCCAGAGGAGUAGAGGCAGAGAACCAUUUCUUAUGCGUGAUUCCAGCGCUCAAGAGGAUGAAAGAAUUCUUAUUUACACGACUUAGGACCACAUCUGUUUUGAUGUCAUUAUUUUAGCUCAUGAAUUCAAGGCAGCUUGGAAGCCGAUCUUUCACCUGUUUUAUAUAUUCAUUCAACAAACACUUAGGAGAGUGUGCUAAGGACUUGAACAGUUCCUACCUAAUGAACGCUGGGAGAAGUGAGUUUCCAUAGGAUGCAAGGUGGAUGGACAUAGGGUUACACCCUCCUGCUGUCAAGUGGGUUUUGGACUAAACAAGAGUGGGUCUUGAGGAGAUGCCAAUGAGAAAGGCAUUGUAAUCAGGAAAGUAAGAGAUGAUAAAACCUUCAAUCUGGCCCCUGGCACCAGAGCUGGAAGGGUUUAGGGAAAGUGCCGAUGAAGCCCAGACAUACACAGUAUCACUUCAAAACGGCCACACAGCCUCUUCCUCUUUUCCAGGAGCGGUUUCUGCAUCAAGGGACCAAGGAGACGGGUGUAGCUAAAAACUUAAAAGGCAGGAGUUCCAAGAAAGUGUUUGUAUGAAUUUCCUGGGGCGGCUGUAACAAAAAUGGCCACAAACCGUGAGCUUAAAACCACAGGCAUCCAUCCUCCCCCAUCCUGGGGACCAGACGUCUGAGGUCAAGGUGUCCCAGGGCCACGCUCCCUCCAGAGGCUCCAGGGGAGGGUCCUUCCCGCCUCUUCCAGCUUCUGGGGGCUCCAGGCAUCCCUGGGCUUGUGGCUGCAUCCCUCCCAUCUCUGCCUCCGUCUUCCCGGGGCUUCUCCUCUGUAUCUGUGUCUCUCCUCUUCUGUCUCUUAGAAGGACCCUGUCAUUGGAGGUAGGGCCACCCUCCUCUAGAUGACCUCAUUUCAAAAUCCUUCACUUUAUUCCAUCUGCAAAAAUCUUUUUUCCAAAUAAAGUCACUUUCAAAAGUUCUGGGCUUAGAACCUGGACGUAUUUUUUUAGGAGUCACCAUUCAAACCACUACAGUUUCCAUAUUAGGUAUUUGCCUGGCGGCCAGUGGAUUAAGGUGGGUUUCUGUGUGUUUUUAAAGGUUGAAAAGGCAGCAAUAAUAAUAAUGUUAUUCCUGACAUACCUCUUGGUAUGUUAGCACAAUAAAAUUUCCCUAGAUUUGCUUAAUGAAUCUUUACAAUAAACAGCAAGGAAUC